AAAAAUUGAGGUCGAAAAUUAUUUUCACCACUCCCCCCUCAAACUAGUGUUUGGGAAAAUGUUUGGCCGUUUUGUUUUCAGAAAAAACCCUGUUGACCUCCCCCUUCAUCCCACCCGUCGCCAAAAUUUUCCCAACAGCACAACGAACCCAACAAAAUCCAACAGCCAAGCAAAAUCCAACAAGACCCAACAGCACAACAGACCCAACAGCACAACAAACCCAACAAAAUCCAACAGCCCAGCAAAAUCCAACAAGACCCAACAGCACAACAGACCCAACAGCACAACAAACCCAACAAAAUCCAACAGCCCAGCAAAAUCCAACAGCACAACAGACCCAACAAAAUCCAACAGCCAAGCAAAAUCCAACAAGACCCAACAGCACAACAGACCCAACAAAAUCCAACAGCCAAGCAAAAUCCAACAAGACCCAACAGCACAACAGACCCAAC